rnacentral:rRNA from 1 species
AUUGAACGCUGGCGGCAGGCCUAACACAUGCAAGUCGAGCGGAUGAGAGGAGCUUGCUCUUCGAUUCAGCGGCGGACGGGUGAGUAAUGCCUAGGAAUCUGCCUAGUAGUGGGGGACAACGUUUCGAAAGGAACGCUAAUACCGCAUACGUCCUACGGGAGAAAGUGGGGGAUCUUCGGACCUCACGCUAUUAGAUGAGCCUAGGUCGGAUUAGCUAGUUGGUAGGGUAACGGCCUACCAAGGCGACAAUCCGUAACUGGUCUGAGAGGAUGAUCAGUCACACUGGAACUGAGACACGGUCCAGACUCCUACGGGAGGCAGCAGUGGGGAAUAUUGGACAAUGGGCGAAAGCCUGAUCCAGCCAUGCCGCGUGUGUGAAGAAGGCCCUCGGGUCGUAAAGCACUUUAAGUUGGGAGGAAGGGCUUACAGCGAAUACCUGUGGGUUUUGACGUUACCGACAGAAUAAGCACCGGCUAACUUCGUGCCAGCAGCCGCCGUAA